GAAACAAUUUGAGGACAGCGACAAAAUGUAACUAUGGAUGCGAAUGUGGAAGAAAUGCUUCCUGUGCGUGUAAUAUAGAAGACAAAUGGUGCACGUUGAAUCCUCUCUUCCGUGAAAUUGAAGAUAAAUCGUUCUAUCGGUGCGCACGGUAAUAAAAGCACAAUGAGCGAAAAACACGCUUUGCGUGAACAUCAGAUAUUCAAAAUUGGAUAUUUCCCGACGCUGCCACUUUUGAGUCAUAUUGGAGCUUCUCAUCAACUGUCGCGGUGACAUCAAGGACGCCCGUCUGUAAAAUCAAUGAAAUUUACCGAUUGCAGCAUCCACAUUCAUAUCUAAAAUAUACGGCCUUGACCAUAAGCAUAAAGCACUCCCACAAAUUGACGUAAACAUUUUAUGUAAUAAAAGAUAAAUAAAAAAACAGUUUUGUUAAAAAUUAA